UCCGUUGCACACGUCCAGCCUGUUUCGCUUCGUUGUUGUCUCCCCUGCUCUACGAUUUACGUCCUUUUCACCCUAUUCACUGCUUCCUCAGCACACACACACACACACACACACACACAUAUAUAUAUAUAUAUAUGUAUGGCUUAACCGUACAUAGUCAUACCCCGCCCUCCCCACACGUGUGUGCCCUUUUCUCACAUUGCACGAGCACCGCUUCCCAAACGCGAGCUUGUCUUUUUUUAUUGCGUGCGCGGCUCGACGUUAGAUGAGUGACAGACCCAACUACUACGCACAGCACCAGCCACAGCAGCAACAUCAGUACGUUGUACCUAAUCGUGACGGUCGAGUUGACAAGAGCAACACCGAUGCCCUGAUUGGGGACGUUGGACUGCACCCUCUGCCGCAGCAGCCUGUCGCAACCGGUAUACACAUGUCCUCGCUCAGGAACACUGAGGCCCUUGCGGCCCGAUUGCGGCCGCAGCACGAAGACGGUGCAGCCAGUAUCUCCAGCAGCUCCGCUGGGUCGUCUUUUCACCAACUCUCUCACCCCGACGCGAGCGGCGGCAGCCGCUCCGUCUUUGCGGACUCGCGCCGCACCGUCAUGUACGGGAAGCCGCACAAAAGCGAGGUGGUGGUGCCCGACCUGCUAGUGCGAAAGAGGGCAGGUACUGCCGGGACCGUCCACUUGGCGCAGUCCGCCGGCAGCAGCUACGAAUCCUUCACCCCGUUGCCCUGCCACGGUCCUUGCGGCGCCGACGAUGUUAGGUCGAACGCCUCCAAGGGCAGCCACCAUGACCUGACCGCGGCUCCGUCUACCUCUAGCUUCAGCGGCGGCUCACAACCGCAGACACCGGAGAACGCAGAGCGCGAUCACCACCACACCUCCCGCGCCGAGAACUUCAACGCUUCUUUCUCCUACUCGGACUCCUUCGUGAACCAGACGUACGUCAAGGAGCUACCGCCGCACUUGAUGCCGCUGGCGCACGAGAUCCACCAUCUGAACGAAGAGGACCUCGUGUACAUUGCGGACGUCACGCAUAUAAUGGCAAACCGCGACUUGUAUUCGCUCCUGCCUUACACAGGCAGCAACUGGUUCCUGCCGUCGAUCCGCGAGUGCUGCGAGGGCGAGAAGCACUGGGAGAUGCGCUGGUGUUGGAAGGAGGGGCUCAUCGUCGCGAUCGGCGGCCGCCGGCUGUCGAUCCGCGCGCUGAACAUCUUCAUUCGCGUGUGCUUUGUGGUACUGAUAUGGUUCCUGCUGUGGAACAUGCUCCCCCGCUGGCUCGUGGAGCCGGGCGGCUACGUCUGGGAUCCGUUGGUGCUCGUGAUCGUAUCCGCCAUCGUCGGUGGCCUCAUAUGCCGUAUCCUACAGCUACCGCCCCUUGUUGGUGUUCUGUGGGUGGGCAUCAUGUGGAACAACAUCCCGACGCUCAAGUACUUGACGCACGGCAUCGUGAAGGAGGUGUUCGACAUCUCCUCGAAGAUCGGGCUCACGGUGAUUCUCGCCCGUGCCGGCUACAAGCUCGCCAUCAAGGAUAUCAUUCCGCACUGGAAGCAGACCGCGCUGCUGGCAACGAUGCCGUUCGUAUUCGAGGGGGUCUCGCACAGCCUCAUUGCCAACAAGAUCUUCGACUACAACAACAACUACAACUGGGCGUUCCUGCAAGGCAUGCUGUGCAGCAUCGUGUCGCCGGCCGUCGUCGUGCCAGGUAGCUUGUACCUGCAGGACAUGGGCUACGGCUGUGGCGUGGGCCCCUUGUCACUUAUGCUCUCGGCAGUUGGUAUUGAGAUCGUAAUCGGCGUGUGGUGCACCAACUUCAUUAUUGGGCUGAUAUUUUAUGAUCAGAAGCUGGCCGUUGCAAUCGUCCUCGGCCCUGUGCAGUUCCUCGGUGGCAUCAUCAUCGGUAUUGGCCUUGGCAUUCUUUUCUUCUACGUCGUGGAGCUCAUCAAGCAGGAGGCGCACCGACUGCCGAACGGCAAGUACACCCGUGCGCACCUGAACAGCUGCAUGGACUUCGCCUUCGUUAUCUUUCUCUUCGAGUGCUAUGCGAUGGUGUUCUUUGGAUAUAAGAUGAACCUCGCCGGAGGCGGUUGUGUCAUGUGCGUCUUCUUUUCCGCCACAGUGGCGCACAUGUGGUCAAGGACAGGCAAGAUGGAGCACGAGGACCACAAGAAGUACGUGGCGACGUGGCUCGCCCUGUCCUGGGAUCAGGUGAUGAUGCCGAUCUUGUUUGCCACGAUGGGAGCCAAGAUCAACGUCAAGGCGAUCUUCAACAAAACCUUCUUCCCGAGGGCAAUCAUCUGCAUGGUGUGCAGCACAGCUGUGCGAUUUACCGUCACCUUCUUGAUUCAGAUUGGCAGUGGUAUGCCGUGGAAGGAGAAGUUGCUGGUAUGCGUGGGGUACCUUGGCAAGGCCUCGGCGCAGGCCUCCAUGGGGCCCAUCGCAGCGAACUUGGUGGCAGGGAUGAUUGCAGCACUGCCUCCGGGGAAGGAGCACUCACUCGCCACGAUGGCCGAGUUCGCGAACAACGUGCAGCAGAUCAGCGCAAUGUACGUCAUGUUCAUGGCGGUUGUGGCGUCGUUAGGCCUCGUGCGAGGCGGUAAAGUGGUCUUGAAGGGCGACCAAACCGCGGAAAAGUCGAGGGAGAAACGCGCCAGCGGAAGCUCGUCAAGUGGGGCCGCUGUCACCGGUGGCAUCAUCGUAGCGGAGAUGGAUUCCACCAUGGCCGAGAACGCCAGCCGGCACGCCCACUUGCCUGACGGUGCGCCGGCAGACCAGCGCCAGCCGUCGGUGAGCAGCAGCCCCGCCAAAGAUCAUGACGCGUUCCUCCCCCUCACCGGCCAGAUCGAGGACGAAAGGGUCACGGGCAACUCGGUCGACAGGCGGCGGGAGCACUAUUCGAGCAUCGCCUAGCAUCGCGCGCAGGUCCGCUUAUGCGAAACGAAAGUAGGUGUUUUCAAGCGCCCCGCUGUUGAAACUGAGCGCACACGCUGUCUCUCGUGCCCCGCCUGCGUCCCUGUAGCGCGGCCGAUGACUCUCCCCUGCUGCUUCCCCGCCACAACUUGCCUCUGGAGCAGCUGCAAGGCGGCGAGUGCACCGACGCCAGCUAUCAGCAUCUUCGCCCCCACCCCGCAUCAGCAGACGCAGAUAUCAAAGUGCAUGCACACGCUGUGAUGAUGCAUGCGUGUCUUGGCGCAUGAGGUGGGGUGGACAACCCAAAACGCAGGCUUCGGCUAUGCUUCGUCUCCUUGUCUUCGUUUGCCAGUUUGCUUGUCCUCACUUCUUGGUGCUGCACCCCCUCCUCCGCGCCACUCGCCUGUCUCCGUGGGCCUGCUAUACACGUGCGUACGUUCGUGUGGCUCACAGUCACACAAACCGCGUAUUUGAACAUCAGCAAGCCAGCUGCACAGGAGCAAGUCCCCACCCCCACCCCCGCCCCGUCUUCUCCCAACGAGAAGAGGAUAUGAGGGGCACCCGCCGAUCCAGAAGUGCGCUUCCUCUCCCGUUGUCUGCGUCCGUAUCAGUGUCUCUCUCGUGCCACCUCCUUCCCCAUCCGCUCGUUCGAUCCCCCAUCCCGUGCACCUAUUUCAUUCACUCGCUCCUUGCGCGCCCUCAUACGCAUCGCCCUUUCCCGUGAAGCGAAAUGGCAGAAACACAAAGGCGAAGGCAAAGGCAGAAGGGAGAGGAGAGGAGGGGAGUGGAUGGGAUGGAUGUAAAAAGGAAAACGAAAAUAGCGAAGAAGGAGCCAGAUAACGGAUUCAUGCGUCGAUAAACCCGCCCUCCCCUCCAUUCUCCUUCGCCUGCCUUCUGUGUCGCUGCGCAUCACCAAAGAAAAAGGGGCGGGGGAAGGGGAGAGAGGGGGAGGAGGAGCAAAACAACGCAAAAAGAAGACACGCUGCCUGUCCUUUUUCAUGCGUGUGCGUGUACAGGUAUGUGGUAUACGCGUAUAUAUUGGUAAGUGUAUAUAUACGUGCAUAUAUAUAUAUAUAUAUGCAUGUAUGCGUUGCUGUUGGCUGAUGUCGUUUCACUUUAUCGGGGUUGUCUUCGUUUUUUUUUCCUGUGUGCGUGUGUGUUUGGGUUCGUCUUUGUGGUUGCGUUGUACCCUGCUUCUCGCUGUCGUUUCUCUCCUGCCCUUUGCCGAGCCGUACAUGGAGGACGCGUAUCGAUGCUCAUGCCUCCGUCUAUCACUUUCUCUGACUUCAUAUCCCCCUAGCUGUUUUCUGCUGAGCCGAGGAUAAAGGGGACGGGGCAUUGAAAUGGUUUUCUGUGUAUGUGCGUGUGCCUGUUGUCGAGAUGCCUCCCACUGUUCAUUCCCUUCCCCCCCCCCUCGGCCACCUAACUACUUUUUCCCCAGCACCAUGCCGCUGGUGGUGGUGUGAGGGGCUACUGCAGCUCUUGCUUCAGUGGGGGUCACCUCUACGGCGUUUGUGUGUGUUUAUCUCCUCUGUUUAACGUUUUGCCUUUCUAAUCCGUGUCUUCCACUGCUCACUGCUGUUCUCGCCUGUUCGGCGCCGUUCUCUCCUUGCCUACCCCGUCCUCCUCUGCCUUGGCGGUGUUGUGCUGCACAUGGCUGACCACCGUGUCUGCACCUCCAUUUCCAAUUUUUGUUGGCGUAUGCUUUACCUCUUUGUGGGGCACCUGCGCGAUACGCACGCUUGCGUACACAGACGUCAACGCGAACACAGAUAACGGUUCACGGACACGAAACACGCGCGUUGCCUGUAUCCUUUUCUCUUUUUGGUCUUGCCUUGGCGUCUCUCUUGGCCUGUGUGUGCUUCUAUGGAGAAGAGGGCGUAACCACGCCGACUCCACCCACACGAACGUGCGGAGCCAGAGGUGCAGACGCAGGCUCAUAUCCACGCCUCAGACGCGUUUUGCUCGCUGUGCCGCGUAGGCUUCGUUUCCACGGGCGCGCUUCUCGAAGAAAAGUGUUUCGUGGGUGAGAGGCUGACGACAGAGGCAGUGAGGGGAGGAGAGCACAUGAGGGGCAUGUUGUCGUAAUGUGUGCAUGCGGAGGAGGAUGACCUUGAUGCUUGCUGGAGAGGGGGGAGGGCAUGAAGGAAUCUGGGGGGCAGCGCGGGCACACGGGGCGAGUUUGUGUGUAUGUGUGUGUGUGCGAGGAGGCGGCGGAAGGACGCAGGGAUACGCAAUAUUCCCUUUAAAGUGUUUUAAGUAUGAGGAUGGAAGCGAAGGCGAAAGGUUAGAGAGACAUGGCGUGGGGAGGCACCAAGAAAGAGCAUGCAGGGAGGAGGAUCAAUCGAGGUGGUAGUGGUGAAGUUCCCCUUUGGAAGGGUAAUGCCCCGCCUCCAUCCUCCCCUCCCCCUCCCCCAAACCUCCUCCAGCGGUGCUCGCACCUCUGUAUGUCUUUCCUACUCUUCGUAUUUCUCUCCAUUCUUUCCAAGCUUCUACUGUACCGCCACCCCUGUUGCUCAUUCCCUCCCCGAUUUGUCGACUCGUUUUCUGUUUUUAUUAUUUUUUUUUCGCAUUUGCUUUUCAAGACAGCUGCUCAUUGUGUUGCUAGCAGCAGCAGCGACUGCCUCUACGGUCGACGACGCCCCUCCUCGGCGUCCCCUCUCCCUUUCCUUUCCACUUGAAAGGCCUGCGCACGCUGCCUUUCCUCUUUUUUCUUUGAUGCUUUUCCUCUAAUUCGCUGCUGCGUCUUCUUGCGUGCUCUCACUUCUGUUUCCUGUGCGAUUCUACGCUUGUUGCCCACCACGGCCACAUGGUGCUCGGUGCGUGUGUAUACAACAUGCUCAUCAUCCAUCCCUUCCUUCCCUUUUCGCUUAUAUAGAAAUAUAUAUAUAUAUAUAUAUAUAUAUCUUGCGUGACAUCUUGCACUAAACGCGCAUUUCUUGUUGACUCCCUCCUCCUCCCCCCGCGCGCCGGCGUGGAGCUGCUGCGUUGGGUCUCUCUCUCUCCACGUCGAUGCGCAUGCAUGCCGCCAUCACCACCACUUCGCCCUCUUCGUCUUUGCGCUCCGCUCUCGCUCUGGAAGUCUUCGAAGCACUGUCUUUGUAGGCGAGCCGGCACCGUGAACCGGCGCAUAUGAUAGCAGCACGAGCCGGAGAAGGGAGGGGUGCCGAAGACCAUAAAACAGAAAGCAAGAGGCGAAAGGAUGGACGGCAAGACGCGUGAGCAGCAUCAGCGGCAGCAUGGAGAGCAAGCCUUAUUGACGAUGGUCACGUGGAGAGGGGUAUCAGGGGCUAAGUCGCUUCUUCUCUUUUCGGCUUGUCCGCCCUUCCCUCCCCUUCGUGACGAAUCCAUGCUUCUUGUUUCUUCUUUUCCGUGUGUGUGGGUGUCUUACCUUUGGUGUGCUGCUUGCCGUAUGCACUGACGGAAUUUUCUUUCCCUUUCGUUGUCUGAGCGCGCGGGUGUGUGCUCUCCUCCUGCGUCUCUAUUUCUUAGCUCUGUGGCGCUUUUACUUCAUUUAUUUAUUGUUAUUGUUUCUGUUCCACUUUACCCGCGACGAAUAAUGCGCGUGGGUGUGCUAUGGGCUGUCUCUGUCUCGCACUCGUAUGCUGUACACACUGCACACAGCAACGCCCUGCCCCCCACCUCCCCCCUCUUCUUCCUUCGCUGUACACACGCUAUCGUAGCGUUUUGCUCCGGCUCCGAUGUUUUCACUACCACCACCGCCCUCGGAGACAACGGAAAUAACUUCCCAUAAAAAGUAAAGGAGUGAGGGAAGCCCUGUUGCUGAAUGCAACGCACGCAGACGCGCCAGCGGCAAGUCAUCACCGCGUCUUCUCCCUCCCUUGUACUCCCCACGUUGCGCUCUCUUCUGGCCAUCACUUUCCUGUCCACGCGAGCUACACAGCGUGAACGCACGUCACGUGCUUUAGCGCACAAGCGCUUGUGGAUGUGUGUCUGCAUGCCCGUGUGUGCGGGAGGCUCUGCGUGUAUGCUUGGCCCUAAGAGGGGGAGGCGAGGGAGUGGGCGGCAGCGGCAGCCGCAUGAGCGCAUGAGGUUGAAGGUUUUUGUUGCGCUUUUACCUCUAAGCUUGCUGUGCAGGUGCGCGUAUGCGCGCGCUUGCUUCGCUUUUUUUUCCUUUCGUGCCGGUUCUCGCUUGCUGCCAAGUGUCUGUGCCACCUCCUCCGCAAACUCGCCGUCUUGGUCUCUCGUUGUGUGUUGGUUUUCGGAGUUCUUUGCACGCUCGUUUUCCAUGUUUUGCCUUUUCCUCUCCGUGUGUCUUUGUCUGUGUUUGUGUGUGUGUCCGUGAGGUCUCUGCACGGCGUCUGUGUCUCUCUCUUGCGUCCUCCAUCACGCAGCCUCCAAGGUCCUGGCGCAGGAACGCGAUCCGAAAAGCACCGCGAAAGGCAGCGGCCUGCGAUGUUCAGUUUCACAUUCAAACCUCAAAACAAGAAGGCAAUGUAGAAGGGUGGUGAGAGGUGGGGGGUGGAGACUCGAUUCUGCCCCCCCCCUCUCCUCUCCUGAGCGAGUGUGGAAAAUAACCAACGAACGGAAACGACUGCGGCGGGCGAAGAGGGGAAGGCAAUAGAGUGCGGCUGACGGUGUCAUACGCCGUCGCCAUCGAACCGUGUUUCGAAAAAUAAAAGGAAAAAAUGCCGCGACACAGCUACCACGCAUGCUCCAUUCAGUUAUAUGGAGCUUGCUGGGGGAGGGAGGGGGAGGGGCUCUUUGUCAAGUACAUGUGCGUUUCCUCUCGCCUGAGAAGGCGGUGACGGCG
rnacentral:misc_RNA from 1 species